UGGGGAAUCUUCCGCAAUGGACGAAAGUCUGACGGAGCAACGCCGCGUGAGUGAAGACGGCCUUCGGGUUGUAAAGCUCUGUGAUCCGGGACGAAAGAGCCUGAGGUGAAUAGCCUAAGGAAGUGACGGUACCGGAAAAGCAAGCCCCGGCUAACUACGUGCCAGCAGCCGCGGUAAUACGUAGGGGGCUAGCGUUGUCCGGAAUCACUGGGCGUAAAGGGUUCGCAGGCGGAAAUGCAAGUCAGGUGUAAAAGGCAGUAGCUUAACUACUGUAAGCAUUUGAAACUGCAUAUCUUGAGAAGAGUAGAGGUAAGUGGAAUUUUUAGUGUAGCGGUGAAAUGCGUAGAUAUUAAAAAGAAUACCGGUGGCGAAGGCGACUUACUGGGCUCAUACUGACGCUGAGGAUCGAAAGCGUGGGUAGCAAACAGG
rnacentral:rRNA from 1 species